rnacentral:rRNA from 1 species
GACGAACGCUGGCGGCAUGCCUAAUACAUGCAAGUCGAACGAACCAUCCUGAAGAUUGAAGCUUGCUUCAUGAUUCAGACCUUGGUGAGUGGCGGACGGGUGAGUAACACGUGGGUAACCUGCCCAAAAGUGGGGGAUAACAUUUGGAAACAAGUGCUAAUACCGCAUAACAACUACUUUCACAUGAUCGUAGCUUGAAAGAUGGCUCUGCUAUCGCUUUUGGAUGGACCCGCGGCGUAUUAGCUAGUUGGUGAGGUAAUAGCUCACCAAGGCAAUGAUACGUAGCCGACCUGAGAGGGUAAUCGGCCACAUUGGGACUGAGACACGGCCCAAACUCCUACGGGAGGCAGCAGUAGGGAAUCUUCCACAAUGGGCGAAAGCCUGAUGGAGCAAUGCCGCGUGAGUGAAGAAGGUUUUCGGAUCGUAAAACUCUGUUGUUGAAGAAGAACAUGCGUGAGAGUAACUGUUCACGUACUGACGGUAU